rnacentral:rRNA from 1 species
AGUGAACGCUGGCGGUAGGCCUAACACAUGCAAGUCGAACGGCAGCACAGUAAGAGCUUGCUCUUACGGGUGGCGAGUGGCGGACGGGUGAGGAAUACAUCGGAAUCUACUUUUUCGUGGGGGAUAAUGUAGGGAAACUUACGCUAAUACCGCAUACGACCUACGGGUGAAAGCAGGGGAUCUUCGGACCUUGCGCGAUUGAAUGAGCCGAUGUCGGAUUAGCUAGUUGGCGGGGUAAAGGCCCACCAAGGCGACGAUCCGUAGCUGGUCUGAGAGGAUGAUCAGCCACACUGGAACUGAGACACGGUCCAGACUCCUACGGGAGGCGGCAGUGGGGAAUAUUGGACAAUGGGCGCAAGCCUGAUCCAGCCAUACCGCGUGGGUGAAGAAGGCCUUCGGGUUGUAAAGCCCUUUUGUUGGGAAAGAAAAGCAGCAGGUUAAUACCCCGCUGUUCUGACGGUACCCAAAGAAUAGGCACCGGCUAACUUCGUG